AGAGUUUGAUCAUGGCUCAGGAUGAACGCUGGCGGCGUGCUUAACACAUGCAAGUCGAACGGAGUUAAGAUGAAACCUGGUGAUUCUUAACUUAGUGGCGGACGGGUGAGUAACGCGUGGGUAACCUGCCGUAUACAGGGGGAUAACACUUAGAAAUAGGUGCUAAAACCGCAUAAGCGCACAGCUUCGCAUGAAGCAGUGUGAAAAACUCCGGUGGUAUACGAUGGACCCGCGUCUGAUUAGCCAGUUGGCAGGGUAACGGCCUACCAAAGCGACGAUCAGUAGCCGGCCUGAGAGGGUGAACGGCCACAUUGGGACUGAGACACGGCCCAAACUCCUACGGGAGGCAGCAGUGGGGAAUAUUGCACAAUGGGGGAAACCCUGAUGCAGCGACGCCGCGUGAGUGAAGAAGUAUUUCGGUAUGUAAAGCUCUAUCAGCAGGGAAGAAAAUGACGGUACCUGAGAAAGAAGCCCCGGCUAACUACGUGCCAGCAGCCGCGGUAAUACGUAGGGGGCAAGCGUUAUCCGGAUUUACUGGGUGUAAAGGGAGCGUAGACGGUUGUGCAAGUCUGGAGUGAAAUGCGGGGGCUCAACCCCUGAACUGCUCUGGAAACUGUGUAACUGGAGUGCAGGAGAGGUAAGUGGAAUUCCUAGUGUAGCGGUGAAAUGCGUAGAUAUUAGGAGGAACACCAGUGGCGAAAGCGGCUUACUGGACUGUAACUGACGUUGAGGCUCGAAAGCGUGGGGAGCAAACAGGAUUAGAUACCCUGGUAGUCCACGCCGUAAACGAUGAUUACUAG
rnacentral:rRNA from 1 species